CGGGCGGCCGUGACCCUGCUGGAGUGCGGGGGGGACCUCCAGCCCCCCGGGGGCUCCCUGAUCCUCCUCUGCCGAGGGUCCGGGUUUGAUUUCGGGAAUUAUGGAAUGAUGUGGAUCCGCCAGAGACCCGGGCAGGGGCUGGAAUGGCUCGCGGGGAUCAGCAGUGGUUCCCGCACCGACUACUCGCCGUCGGUCAAGGGCCGGUUCACGAUCUCCAGGGACAACGGGCAGAGCUCGGUGACGCUGACCAUGAACAACCUCAAGGACGAGGAUUCCGGAUCCUAUUUCUGUGCCAAAUCUGUUUAUGCUGGUACUAGUUACGAAGCUUAUGGUAUUGAAAGCUCGCAGAGAGGAUUCCAGCCCAGCCCCGAGGAGCAGCCCCAGACACCGCGGCCGUGA